rnacentral:pre_miRNA from 1 species
AGUGGGAUAGCUUGGUCAAAUUGUGGUUUCAUUCCAAGUUUUCUAAGGAAUUUCUGUACUCCUUUCCAAAUUGGUUGCACCAAUUUGCAGUCCCACCAGCAAU